rnacentral:rRNA from 1 species
UACGUAGGUGGCAAGCGUUGUCCGGAUUUACUGGGCGUAAAGAGCGCGCAGGCGGUCGUCCAAGUCGCGUGUGAAAGCCCCCGGCUCAACUGGGGAGGGUCACGCGAUACUGGUCGACUCGAAGGCAGGAGAGGGUAGUGGAAUUCCCGGUGUAGUGGUGGAAUGCGUAGAGAUCCGGAGGAACACCAGCGGCGAAGGCGGCGUCCUGGACUGGUACUGACGCUCAGGAGCGAAAGCGUGGGGAGCGAACAGG